rnacentral:rRNA from 1 species
ACGCUCGACACCUACGGGAGGCAGCAGGUAGGGAAUCUUCCACAAUGGGCGCAAGCCUGAUGGAGCAACACCGCGUGAGUGAAGAAGGGUUUCGGCUCGUAAAGCUCUGUUGUUGGAGAAGAACGUGCGUGAGAGUAACUGUUCACGCAGUGACGGUAUCCAACCAGAAAGUCACGGCUAACUACGUACCAGCAGCCGCGGUAAUCUGAGCGGGCUGGCAAGGC